rnacentral:lncRNA from 1 species
CUUCCAGGCGUUUAAUUAAUGCCCUGCUGUUGCUAUUUUAUAAAUUGCAUAUCAUAUAUCUCCAUUUAUCAUUCUAUCAGCCAACUUUUGUAAAAUACAUGUACAUGUACACAUUUUUUUAUUUGUACUUGUACUUUUACAAAUAAAGUCUCAUGUUACCCUACUGCCAUAAUGAGCAAGCGGUAACGGAGAUAUCUAAUUUUUGCGUAACUAUUCAAUUUUGGUCUUCCUUGCGGUCUGCGUUUAAACUUUGUCGAAUUAAAAAAAAAAAAAAAAAUAGAGGCAAUGAUAUAAAUUUUAUCAACUUAAUUUCCAAGUGACGGGUGUAAAUUGUAGGAUUGAUUGAUUUGAUUAUUGGUUGGUUAACGUCCAGUGGAAAAUAUUUCAUGCAUGUUCAGGACGAGAACAAGUUAACAAUAAAUACAAUAGGUAGUUUUUGCAAUAGAGGCAGGGUAUCCCGAUGAUGUCGGAAAAUUUUAGCUGACGCUAUACAUGUAUAUAUAUAUACUAGUUCUAAAAACUAAUUUUAAGAAAGAAACUUUCCGGGCCUUUUCUGACGCCUAGUAUGCGAGCAAUAUGGCCCUCAGAGCCUAAAAGAUAACUUUGUUAAUUUUCUUUCAGUAAUUUUGUCUCCCAACUUGUACAUGUACAUUAUUUCCAACUCAAAACUAAAAUCCACCGAAUUGCCAUGCAAGCGUAAAUUAACACGAAUAUAAAAUCUAAAUGAUUUCAAGAUCUUGCUUUUUUACAGUCUCUUGCCGUUUGAAUAAUAAAAAGUCAGUCGUUUGCAUGUAAAUUUCGAGAAAAAAAAUUAUAACGGAAUCAGGGAACACGGAACCGGUCUGACUACAGCCAGCCCCAACUAUCAACGUGCGUUUGUAGACGCAAGUGUAUACUCGGGGCUGGCUUUAUUCAGACUGUAACGGAACCUGGAUUUUGUUUUGUUUUUUUCUGCCGAAUCAAGUGCCCAUGUAUUUCUCAGCCUUCGUUAACUUUCUAAUGUUUCAUUCCGAUGUUUCUGUCCGUCCUGAAUAGACCUGGUUUAUACGAUUACAAAGCUGGCACUGUAUUUUAAAAUAUUUCCAAAACUAUAUCGAAUUUACUCUGUACAAACCAAUGGAUUUCAGAGACUGUUUACACAUGGAACACAGGAAAAGUAAUUCGGCUAAAUAACCACUUUUUUACAUUCCAUACAAACAAACUUUUUUCUGUAUGAUUUUCAACGUCUACUUGUAUUGUGC